rnacentral:rRNA from 1 species
AUUGAACGCUGGCGGCAGGCCUAACACAUGCAAGUCGAACGGUAACAGGAAGCAGCUUGCUGCUUUGCUGACGAGUGGCGGACGGGUGAGUAAUGUCUGGGAAACUGCCUGAUGGAGGGGGAUAACUACUGGAAACGGUAGCUAAUACCGCAUAACGUCGCAAGACCAAAGAGGGGGACCUUCGGGCCUCUUGCCAUCGGAUGUGCCCAGAUGGGAUUAGCUAGUAGGUGGGGUAACGGCUCACCUAGGCGACGAUCCCUAGCUGGUCUGAGAGGAUGACCAGCCACACUGGAACUGAGACACGGUCCAGACUCCUACGGGAGGCAGCAGUGGGGAAUAUUUCACAAUAGGCGCAAGCCUGAUGCAGCCAUGCCGCGUGUAUGAAGAAGGCCUUCGGGUUGUAAAGUACUUUCAGCGGGGAGGAAGGGAGUAAAGUUAAUACCUUUGCUCAUUGACGUUACCCGCAGAAGAAGCACCGGCUAACUCCGUG